rnacentral:miRNA from 1 species
UACCUCAUCGACCGGAAGGAAUUCCUUCCGGCCAAUGAGGAUGUUAUACCUCAUUGACCGGAAGGGAUUCCUUCCGUCAAUGAGGAUGUUAUACCUCAUCAACCAGAAGGAAUCCCUUCUGUUGAUGAGGAUAUUAUACAUCAUUGACCGGAAGGAAUCCCUUCCAGCCAAUGAGGUU